rnacentral:rRNA from 1 species
GAUGAACGCUAGCGGCAGGCUUAAUACAUGCAAGUCGAGGGGCAGCAUGAUUGUAGCAAUACAAUUGAUGGCGACCGGCAAACGGGUGCGGAACACGUACACAACCUUCCAAUAAGCGGGGAAUAGCCCAGAGAAAUUUGGAUUAAUACCCCGUAACAUAACGAUGUGGCAUCACAUUGUUAUCUUAGAUUUUUCGCUUAUUGAUGGGUGUGCGGGUGAUUAGAUUGUUGGCGGGGUACCGGCCCACCAAGUCUACGAUAAGUAGCUGAUGUGAGGGCAUGAUCAGCCACACGGGCACUGAGACACGGGCCCGACUCCUACGGGAGGCAGCAGUAAGGAAUAUUGGACAAUGGACGCAAGUCUGAUCCAGCCAUGCCGCGUGAAGGAUUAAGGUCCUCUGGAUUGUAAACUUCUUUUAUAAGGGACGAAAAAAGGCUUUUCUAAGUCGUCUGACGGUACCUUAUGAAUAAGCACCGGCUAACUCCGUGCCAGCCGCCGCGGUAAGAC